UAACCUGCUAAAUAGUUAGGCCAACGUUUGUUGGUCGUCAACUUCUUAGAGGGACUAUUGACUAUUAGUCAAUGGAAGUUUGAGGCAAUAACAGGUCUGUGAUGCCCUUAGAUGUUCUGGGCCGCACGCGCGCUACACUGAUCAAGUCAGCGAGUCUACAACCUUGGCCGGAAGGUCUGGGUAAUCUUUUGAAACUUGAUCGUGCUGGGGAUAGUCCAUUGCAAUUAUUGGACUUCAACGAGGAAUUCCUAGUAAGCGUGAGUCAUCAGCUCGCGUUGAUUACGUCCCUGCCCUUUGUACACACCGCCCGUCGCU
rnacentral:rRNA from 1 species